UACGUAGGGAGCGAGCGUUGUCCGGAAUUACUGGGCGUAAAGGGUGCGUAGGCGGCGUGGCAAGUCAGAUGUGAAAUCCCCGGGCUUAACUCGGGAGUUGCAUUUGAAACUGCCGUGCUUGAGUGCAGGAGAGGAAAGCGGAAUUCCUAGUGUAGCGGUGAAAUGCGUAGAUAUUAGGAGGAACACCAGUGGCGAAGGCGGCUUUCUGGACUGUAACUGACGCUGAGGCACGAAAGCGUGGGGAGCAAACAGGAUUAGAUACCCCCGUAGUCCCU
rnacentral:rRNA from 1 species